UGCAAGUCGAACGGUAACAUUUCUAGCUUGCUAGAAGAUGACGAGUGGCGGACGGGUGAGUAAUGCUUGGGGACUUGCCUUUGCGAGGGGGAUAACAGUUGGAAACGACUGCUAAUACCGCAUAAUGUCUUCGGACCAAACGGGGCUUCGGCUCCGGCGCAAAGAGAGGCCCAAGUGAGAUUAGCUAGUUGGUAAGGUAACGGCUUACCAAGGCGACGAUCUCUAGCUGUUCUGAGAGGAAGAUCAGCCACACUGGGACUGAGACACGGCCCAGACUCCUACGGGAGGCAGCAGUGGGGAAUAUUGCACAAUGGGGGGAACCCUGAUGCAGCCAUGCCGCGUGUGUGAAGAAGGCCUUCGGGUUGUAAAGCACUUUCAGUUGUGAGGAAAAGUUAGUAGUUAAUACCUGCUAGCCGUGACGUUAACAACAGAAGAAGCACCGGCUAACUCCGUGCCAGCAGCCGCGGUAAUACGGAGGGUGCGAGCGUUAAUCGGAAUUACUGGGCGUAAAGCGCACGCAGGCGGUUUGUUAAGCUAGAUGUGAAAGCCCCGGGCUCAACCUGGGAUGGUCAUUUAGAACUGGCAGACUAAAGUCUUGGAGAGGGGAGUGGAAUUCCAGGUGUAGCGGUGAAAUGCG
rnacentral:rRNA from 1 species